GUCUGGAUGGUGCAGUGGUCAGCGCAUCUGCCUAGCAAGCAGAAGACGCGGGUUCGAAUCCCGAUCUGGAACA